ensembl:lncRNA
CGCUCGCAUGCCCGGAGCCGGGCGCACCGCCCCGCUCUCGCGAGAUCUUCCUUCCCCUUUCCUCCUCCGGGCAGCUCUCGCGAGCCCUUGUCCGUCCCACCGCCGCGCUCUCGCGGGGUUGUUCUCGUGAGAACGAGGUGGCGCGGCGGAGUGGUGAGAAUCGUUUCAGCUUCAGCGCGGCGCUGUUUCUUAAGCCAGAAUGGUGGUUCCAAUUCAGUCAGUUCUUCCAGUUGUGGAUCCACAUCCAUGGGCUCUCCAUCACUGUCAAGAAGGGCCAAGUAUAUGGGCCCAUUGGUACAGAGUCUCCCUAUUGGCCGCCACUUCUUGUUAGGAGAAGACUCAAUCAACCCCUUUAUAAGAAGAUAGAACACAAGUCUCACUUGCAAAAAGAGCUCAGGUAGGAGAACUGACCUCAGCCCUCCUUGACGGUUCUGGAAAAUAUUUCUCUCUUGGCUGCCUAAAAGCGAUGUGCCUGUAAUAGGCCUGCCCUGCUGCAGGUCGCUCCACUUCAAUCCAUUCUUCCAUUUGAUAUGAAUCCAUCUUCAAGGGCUCUUUCUCUCUCUCAGGCAUGUCUACAUCUGUGGGCUUGAUUGUACUGCUGCUCCCCAUCAGUCACCAUUUCUUGUUCUGGAG